AUUGAACGCUAGCGGCAUGCCUUACACAUGCAAGUCGAACGGCAGCGGGGGAGCUUGCUCCCGCCGGCGAGUGGCGAACGGGUGAGUAAUACAUCGGAACGUACCCAGUAGCGGGGGAUAGCCCGGCGAAAGCCGGAUUAAUACCGCAUACGCCCUACGGGGGAAAGGGGGGGAUCGCAAGACCUCUCACUAUUGGAGCGGCCGAUGGCUGAUUAGCUAGUGGGUGGGGGAAAGGCCUACCAAGGCGACUGUCAGUAGCGGGUCUGAGAGGACGACCAGCCACACUGGGGUUGAGACACGGCCCAGACUCCUACGGGAGGCAGCAGUGGGGAAUUUUGGCCAAUGGGCGAAAGCGUGGUCCAGCAAUGAGGCGUGUGCGAAGAAGGCCUUCGGGUUGUAAAGCACUUUUGUCAGGGAAGAAAUCGUUUGGGUUAAUACCCCGAGCAGUUGACGGUACCUGAAGAAUAAGCACCGGCUAACUACGUGCCAGCCGCCGCCGUAA
rnacentral:rRNA from 1 species